ACAUUUUUUUUAUUGAAAAAAAGAAAAACAAAAAAGAGGGAUCUGAUUUAAAUCACUUCAAAUUUAAGCUGCCAUAUUCUCUUCGUCUUCACCGUUCGCCUGCAAAGCUUUCAAGCUCACUUCGUCUGGCGCCAAAUCUACAUAUACUUCCCGCUCAAGUUCUCAAGGUUUGAGAGCUCAGUAAUGGGAACUCUGAGCUCAGGACCAGUCUCUCUCUCGUUUUUACUCUCUCGUUCGAUUAGGGUUUGAUUGUGUGGAAUGAUUGGUAGAACUAAGUGAGGGCCAAGUUAUCGCGUAUAGUAACAUCGAUCUCUUCAACUCUCUCUCUUUGCUCUACUGACUCUACUUGCUUCCGAUUCGGUUCAUCUCCAUUUUGAUCUGUAAUUUCGCUUUUCCCUGUAUGCUAGGGGGAUCAGGAGCCACAAGCACAGCAGUCCUAGUAUCCUCACUCUUUUAACUCCCCGAGCUCUGCUCGUCCUUUAACUCCAAGUAGAACCUCUUCUUCUUCCAAUUUGAGUUUUAGGGGUAACUCCCCGUCACCUGUUUCUCCCUCCGAAGCUGCCGGUGUUAUUGCUUCUUUGAAGGACAAAAGGUAGGGAUCCUUUGAUAUCUAUUGAUUGUAUAUAAAUAAUGGUUUACUCAUAGCACAGUUUUUUAAUUCCAUGAUCCUUAUUAUUCACCGUCUAUUAAGUUCAUGUUUCUAGGUUGGUGUAUAUCUACUUGUUGCUUCUUGUGCAUUAGAUUAGAUAAUCUGCAAAUGCUUGUUCAGUCCUUUUGUUGCCAUCCCUUAUUGAUUGUUCUGGGGUAGUUGUAAGUUUUGUUUGAACUGGUUCAUGACUCGAAAUUGAGAACAUACCUCAGAAGGUUUUGAUAGACUAAAGAAUGUUGAAAAGUAGUUGAUGACUAAUAGAAGGAAACAGUUUGUAUUUAUGCCGAGCAUAAAAGCUUAGAAAUUAGGUUUACUUGAAUUGUUAUUUAUUGAAAAUUUCAUGGAUGGCACACGCAAUGCAUUUCUAAUUUGAGGGCAGUUCAUGUAGGAAUAGAAAACGUAAGUGUGUGUGAGGGGAUGAAAGUUGGAUAUGUUGGUAAUGCAUACAGAAAGUUUUUUUUUUUUAAAUCAAUUAUUUAAAUAAUCUAUUCAAGACUCUUCACUUAGUAUGCUAUGGACUCUGUUUGGUUUAACUUUCCCACUUGAUGAUUGAUACUCUUCUCAGUAUAUUAUAGAGUAGAAUUAACAGGUUAAUGAUAUAUUUAUAGUAAGUAAUAACUUGGGGGUUUAAAUUCUUUUGCACAUUUAUUAUAGUUUGGUAACUUAUAUGGUUUGAUCUUAUUAUAUUACGGGGGAGGCUUUGGCAUAGUGAAAGCAAGUAAUUACUAAUAUCAGUUUACUCUACUUUCCUCUCUCUCCUAUCUAUCUUGUUCUCUUACACUUGUCCUACAACAAGAGUGAAACAUUGUAACUUCAAUUUCUAACAGUGUUUCCUUGACAUGUUUCUGACCAGAAAAGAACAUUCUCUUUCUUAUUAUUGUCUUAUGAGUAAUAUAUUUGUUGUCUAAGUUCAUGCAUUUUCAUCUUACCAGAAGUUGUCAGCAUAGUAAAUGUGGUUGCUCUAAUGUUCUUUGCUGCAUUGUUGAUGGGGGACAUAAGUAGCAGAAGCCAUUAGAGGUUUAAAGGUAUAUAGGAGACAUGUUGAAAGUGGGAUAGAUACUUAGAUGUUAUAUGUUUUUGUUAAUCAAUGCCUAAUUCAUCAUGGAAAUUCUGAUGCUGAUGGAACAGGAAUAUAUGUUUCAUGAUUUUCUGGUCGAGUUUUAUUUAGUCUUCAAGCUUUUCUAAACUAUAUCCUAGAUUCCUAGAUGAAUUGAUACUGAUCAGGAUGAUAGGAUGAACUAAUUUGUUCUCUUGUCAUCAAGCUUUGUUCCUAGUGUUGAAUCUUUCUCUGUAGAAGCCAAGAUUGAAUACAGGGGUUUAGAAUUUGUCCAAUGUUACUGUGAAUUAUGGGGUUUAGAAAUUGUCCAAAAAUUUGAGGUUUUUCUGUAACUGGGUUUUGCUAAUAUGGGUUUAGUGUGACAGUUCUUAUUGCAAUUUACUUUGUUUGGUUGUCAAGAAAGUUUUGAGAUGGAAAUGGCUUGGUAUUUUCAAUUAUGCUUCAUGAUUUGAGUAAAGAAACAAUUCUGGAAAUGACAAUUGUUGACAAUUGUGGGGGUGGGACUGUGGGGAGGGUUAUUGUGUGUAAUAUGCUAAAUUUGAACUUUGAUUUUGACGUGAGCAGUUUAAAGAUUUGUUUUUAUUAGAUCAUGCCUUUUCAAAACUUGUCCAAUUUGAAUAUACCCUUCAAUUGGCGAAUAGAUAGAAUGAACAAAUCUUCAGUUCUUGAUGAAAUUUGGUCCUUUAUGUUUGAAUUGCCUUUAUCAGAGCCCUUUAGUAUAAUCUUGGAUAAUGGGGUUACUGUGGAUUGUGCUAAAUGUCCAACGUUAGAAAUUGUAAAGGGAAUGGGGGUUGUUAGGAUGAGAUAACAAUGGUGGAAGGUGCAAUCUGGAAUGCUGAUAACCUCAAGGCUCUAUGAUGUACGACUUCUUUAUGGAAAAUGGUUGGCAUGUGACAUCAUAUCAAGCUAUAAUCUGCCCCUUCAAGUACUCAUGUAAUCAAUCUGAAGAAAAUUCUAAUCUAGCUAGCAUGUUCUAUAUUUGAAAACCAGUUUAGUUAUAAUAUGAUUUUGUAAUAUGAAGUUAUUUAAUUGAUGUAAUUCACUACAUGAAUGCUUUUGUUUAUUAUGCUUGAAUGAAAAAUAUUUUCUA